GGACAUGAGGGUGAUCUGGCUGCAACAUCUGUUGCCCGUUAUCACCAGGGUUGACUCGGCUGAUCUGUCUGGCCAGGGGGUGAUACCUUCCUCCCUCCCUGCUCCAUGUGCGUCCCUCCCACAGCUGCGUGCUCAGUCCAAGAGGAUGAAAAGUACACACCUAGCUGUGCUCCCCUUCUAGAACCUCCAAAGCAGCUCUCAAGAACAGAAGCCUAAAUUCUUCGAUGUGGGGGUCCUAAGGGAUCUCAUUCUUU
ensembl:misc_RNA 7SK 7SK RNA